AUCUAUCUAUGUUACUCUGGGGAGGAUCCAACCUUAGUUUUGGCAACCUUGUUUGCAUGAUGGGGUCCAAAUGCUGCCGAGCACAAAGCACGCCACGCGCGGCGCGGCGUUGCUGUAACUUGGCGAGGAACUGUUGUAUUGAGGAUCGAUCACGGUACGUGGUAUCGAUCCAAUAGUCAGAGCAGAAUGCCGUGUUUGGCAGAUUGAGGUUGGUGGUGGGUGUGGAAGAGGAGGGGACCGUCGACAGCGCUGCUGUUGUCACGCAGUAGCAGGGAACCUUCUGAGACAGAUCGUUGGUUUCUACCACUAGAGGAUUGUAGAGCUCUCAUGAGGACCCGCUUAGGGGGCUGAUUUGGCGAUCUGGAUGGAUCGUGGUGGAGUUCGAUUUGGGCAUGGGGAGCGAGCAGUGAGGGAGGGAUCGUGGUGUGGAUCGAUCUAGCCCCGAUCUGGCUUUGGUCGUCAAUGAGCCACGCCCAUGCCGAGGUGCAGGUCGGGGCUCACCAUGGGAGCAUCCAUGCCGGCGCCGCGACGUGCAAACAGCGAAGCCGCAAAGCUUGCUGGGAAGCGAGCAGACCAUAUGUUUCCCUCAACCUGAAGAUAUGAUCUAUGCUGCUACUUCUGGUUUGUGUGUUACUUCCGCUGGAUGAUACUCUGUCAUAUGUUGUCGUUGUUUCCUCCCAGUGAAGCCCUCCCAACCGUCAUCUCCUUCCCUUCUCUUGCUGCUCGAUGAAAUUGCUCCUGCUGCUACCUUUGCAUGGUAACGGAGUUCUGUGAAUUUACUCCAGCGGUGAGGAUCCAAUUUCAGUGAAAUCAUGCUACUAUAACUUCAGCGCACGAGGAAGACGAGGGAAUAGUCCUUCGUUGGAGCGGUAUUUUUUUCCAAAGAUGGUGUUGGCAUGGAUCAGCACCAGUAAUACCUUAAAUCUUCUAAACUUGGCUCCUCUAGCCACACUUGAUGAUGGAAGUUCCAGCCAAAUGAAUUUACAAUGUAUUUGGCUUGGAGUUGAUCCCAAAAAAUGAAUUUAUUAUGUCUAUCCAAGAAAUGAAGUUUUUUCGUUCAGGUUUUAGAUCUCUUUAGUUUUAGCUUAGUUCAAGGAUAGAAAAGCUUGCUACUUAUGGAUUCAACGAGGAAGAACAUUAGCCACUUUUUCAGAGUUGGAUGGUGUGGUGCACCUUCAUCUCGUUGUCCAAUUUCUUAGCUUAUUUGCUUUCACUGUACUACAGUUAUAUAGCAGGAUAAGGAUCCAAUCUUGUGACACUUCUCCAUUUUCACCAUCGUCAAAAGUUGCACAUGAGUUGAUUCAGACUUUCAGACUUCAGAGAACACCAAGGAGAGUCAAUCGGCCUGAAGGUAUAUAUCAGAUCCUAAGGAAAGGGACCCGAGUUCAAAUUUGUCACUACUCUGUGCUGUUAGAUAGCCAUGGUAUGUGUUAGUUUUAUUUUACCACAGAAGUUCGAUUCUUGGGAGUUAGAAUAUCAUAUGAAUACAUUACUUUUCUUGUGAAUCCAUUCUCUUUUAGUGCACUAUCUAUCUCUCUAAUCUAUCUAUCAAAGUUUUCAAACAAAUUGAUGGCAGCGGCAUUGUGGCGAAUGGCGAAGGUCCUAAAAUGGACGGGAGAGACGUGGUGACGCCCGACUGGGAGACGUACAUAUUGGAGGAAAUAUGAUUCAUAAGGUUUCAUAUUAACAAAAAAUUAUAGUCUUUAUAAAGUAAUUUGAACAUUUUGUUGACUCCAGGAUAACUUUAUUCUCCAAUAUGAAUAUUUAAGAAAAUAUAUGACAUAUAUUUGUGCAAAUUGAUAAUCUAAGCUCAUCUCGUAAACUUUAUUCUCUUUUCAAGAUUGAUUUACUUGGUGGUGCUAACUUCCAUUUUCUCAAAAUAGGACAUGCGUGCUAUUUCAGAAAAAAGUAGCUUCUCUGUUGGAUGGCACCCCUCAUGGUACUUUUAGAUAUGUAGGAAAAAAUGGCAUCUCAUAAUUCAUUGGAUGUAGACCAGUAGGGUCAACUACAAAUUGUUGCCUGUAAAUGACUUUCAGUUUCUAGCUUUCAUAAAAUAUUAGACAUGUACUCUUUAACAAUAUACCGUGGUUGAUGGUGGUCCUAUGUACUGGUUGAAAUUAUCAUCUUGGAUAAUAUUGCAUUUACUA